rnacentral:lncRNA from 1 species
CUUAGAUCUAAUAAAGUUCAUGCUUCUUACGUUUACCUAUCAAUGGACUAUUAUACCUCUGUGACACCUGGACAGCCACCACAACAAUCAAGAUAUAGAACAUCUUUUGCCUUGGGAGGAUGGGAUUGGCUGGGUGUAAGGGGAUGCCUUCCUACAGAAGUUUCUUCUGAGCAGAGACCUCGAUGAGAGACACGUUGGCCGUAGGAUGAUAAGGAGGUGGAGUUCCCAUGAGGAGCCCGCUCACACCCUGCACUGGGGCUACGUGCUACGCCGAGCAGUAUCUAAAGCUCAUCACUACACCUGCAGAGACCUGUCGUGGUGCCACCUGUGGGCAUCAGCUCCCUCUGCUUCCCUGUCAACUCCAAAUCCACGCCAAAGCAGAAAACAGCCAGAGAGGUAGAGGGCUGCGAAUUGCUACAGAGAGAAAUUCAGCUAGGAAAAUGUCCAUAUCAUUUGGCAAAUCAGGGCUGCAGGCCACCAGCCUCCCUGAGCCUCCAGACCCGUGAGAUAGGACAUCGCUGCUGGUUAGGC